rnacentral:lncRNA from 1 species
AGAUCCUUUUAUGCCUUGACUGUGAUGGACACAAAACCUAAAAUGCCAAGGAAAUCAUACAGAAUGAAUAAAUUUACCUGAGGUCACAAAAGAGGAGUCUGAACAGAACUGGAAGCUUGUCUUGCUGUGGAUACGUGGUGUUUUACUAUACUUUCGGCAGCUCACAACCUCGUGUGACUCCAGUCUGUGGGAUCUGAUGCCCGGUGCCCUCUUCUGCCCUCUGGGCAUGGCACAUGGUACGCAGACAUGGGUUCAAUCAGAACACGCAUACACCGUUCUUGCUUCCUGUGGUUACAUGGGUUCCAAGGAUUGAACUCAGGCUGCUGGGUGACCAAGGUCCUUGCCCUCACUUGCUGAGCCAUCCCACCCUGGGCAGCAUUUUUUUUUUUGGAUUAUUCAGGUUUCUUAAGCAAUUGACUAGGAGCUUACUUUGAACGGCAAUUUACAAGCAAUGUAUAUGAGGCAGUAGAAUAUUUUGAAAUG